GUGGAUCUCUGCUACACCAUGGACCUCCAUGGGCUGCAGGGGCACAGCUGUCUCAUCAAGGUGUGCUACCACCAUCACUGAUGGGCUCAGCCUUGGCCAGCAGCGGGACCGUCCUGGAGCCGGCUGGCACUGGCUCUGCUGGACAUGGGGGAAGUUUCCGGCAGCUUCUCACAGAAGUCAGCCCUGUAGCCCCCCACUGACAACACCUUGCCAUGCAUACCCAAUACGUAGGACUAUCAGACUAGUGAGAAGAAGAUUAAUAUUUGCAUCGUGCUUUUAGUAAAGCUUGUGGCAUUUGACAUUUACACAGGAAAAUAAAGGAUAUAUCAUUUAGGUGAA